rnacentral:rRNA from 1 species
CCUACGGGUGGCAGCAGUGAGGAAUCUUGGUCAAUGGGCGCGAGCCUGAACCAGCCAAGUAGCGUGAAGGAUGACUGCCCUACGGGUUGUAAACUUCUUUUAUACAGGAAUAAAGUGAGGUACGUGUGCCUUUUUGUAUGUACUUUAUGAAUAAGGAUCGGCUAACUCCGUGCCAGCAGCCGCGGUAAUACGGAGGAUCCGAGCGUUAUCCGGAUUUAUUGGGUUUAAAGGGAGCGUAGAUGGUUUGUUAAGUCAGUUGUGAAAGCUUGCGGCUCAACCGUAAAAUUGCAUUUGAUACUGGCAGUCUAGAGUACAGGUGAGGUAGGCAGAAUGCAUGGUGUAGCGGUGAAAUGCUUAGAGAUCACGAAGAACACCGAUUGCGAAGGCAGCUUACUAAACUGCCACUGACAUUGAUGCUCGAAAGUGUGGGUAUCAAACAGGAUUAGAUACCCCGGUAGUC